AGGAUUAUACUUAUGUCUUAUAUGAAAUUAAACUCAGAACGGAUCCUGGCGUUGAUCCAAACGCCGCAUUUUAUGAAUGCAUCACAAUUUAAAGUCAAUCAAGAACAGAACAUUCCGUGUAUGGCCAUGACUAAAACUGCUUGCAUUUUGUUGGUCUUCCCUUCCCGAUGGUCUGGCUUGUCGUAAUAGCUUUAAUGAUGUAGCUAGGGAGCUAAAUACUUAUUUUUAAAUUCUUGCAUUUUAUAAGUUAAUAGUCGUAAAACUACUCUCACUUGUACUACAGCUAUCAAGCUAGAACUGCACAAAAUAGUGCUUUCAUUAGAGUCCCUUUUUUCAGAAGCAACAAAAAACUUUUAUCCUGCCCUGUGUAAUUUUAUCAACGAGGGUGCUGAUAAGCCACAUACACCGUAAAAAGUAUAGGCGUUUUUGAUCAUUUGUUAUGAAACCAUGCACCAUCAGCAGUUUCGAAAAAUCUUCAACGAGAGAAAUUUUUAAGGAUUUUAUUGGUAACUUAACAGAGUAAUAAUUCAUUGAAAUUGAAAUUGUUCAGAAGUUAUUAUAUAUAUUCGAAUCGUGAAGUUCAUACAUAGCAAUCCUGCAUCCUGGAAUUUUCGAGAUCAGUUAUAAAAAAAUCCAGUUAAAGUUUUAACUAUUGUUUUAGAAUAUAUACUAUAUAUAUGUAAAAAAAAAAUUAUUUUUUAUUUAUCAAGUUGUAUUUUACGCAAUAAUAAUUGAGAAUUAGGAUA